AUCUCCUCCAACCUCAUCUACUGUAUCCAUUGUUCAAGAUGCAGUCUUUUAUACAUCGGUGACACUAAACAUGGAAUGGGCGAUCGUUUCGAUGAACACCUUCGCUCAGUCUGCAUCGAC